rnacentral:rRNA from 1 species
UACGUAGGGGGCUAGCGUUGUCCGGAAUCAUUGGGCGUAAAGAGCGUGUAGGCGGCCCGGUAAGUCCGCUGUGAAAGUCGGGGGCUCAACCCUCGAAUGCCGGUGGAUACUGUCGGGCUAGAGUACGGAAGAGGCGAGUGGAAUUCCUGGUGUAGCGGUGAAAUGCGCAGAUAUCAGGAGGAACACCGGUGGCGAAGGCGGGUCUCUGGGCCGAUACUGACGCUGAGGAGCGAAAGCGUGGGGAGCGAACAGG